GGUCGUGUCGGGCGAUCGGGAAACUCGUCAUUCUUUUACAAUUCCGAGAUCUUUGGCAAGCAUAAUGGCGGGCCGCAAUCUUUCGAGAUUAUCUCCGAAAGGGGGUACGGCGGAUUACAAAGUGUACGUCAACCUCAAAACUUGUUUUCUUGGAGUUUCGUCACAAUCUCCCGGCGCGGCUAUCAUA
rnacentral:sRNA from 1 species